AGCUCUGGUGGCCUACUGGUUAGAGCAUCUGCCUUGGAUGCAGGAUGUCGUGGGUUCAAUCCCUGGUUGAGUCA